GUAAUUCAUUCAGAUAGUUCAAAUUACUUCUGGAGAGGUGAAUUUAUGUCUAGAAUACUACACAGUUGAAUCUUAAUAUUUUUAAAAAGUUAGCUAAUAUACUUUGAUUCGUAAAUUGUGAAAGGUCUGGAUGUAUUUUUUAAAAAUGGAAAUAGUAAAGCCAUCCUUCUAUGUGAUUAUAUAGAAACUAAACCAGAGCAAAAAUGAUUCAACUGGAUUUAUCGAGAAACUACUCUGGGCUAACAUCCGUGUCAGGUACUGAGUGAGAUACAAGAACAAAAUUUCCACCUGCAAGAAUGAAGAAAGUUGUCCUGAAUGGAAAAAAAUCUAACAGGACUUGGAAGGACAAAUAACAUUCAACAAGUAAAUAUGAAGAAAGGUUAAUAGCUUUCCAGAAGAGAAACACAGUGCAAAUGAAUGGAAGUAUGAAAAUAGAGAUUUUUAUGAAAAUACAAAUUCAUCAAGAUUAGAGAGUUCUAAUUUUAAAAGAAUGUAUUCAGUAAAAACCCUAUUGAUGACAAAUUUGGAGGGAAUUCUAAAAGUUAAGCGUUUUUGUUCUUUCCUCUCUUCUUCCUUUUCAUUUUCUUUUUCCUUCCUUCUUUCUUCUUCCUUCCUUCCUCUUUCUUUCUCCUUCAAAUUACAACCUGCAUCUUAGAAAACAUAAUGAGUGACUGUGUAUAGGAAGGAUUCACCAGCAGCACCCAGUUGCUAUGGUAUGUUAUGGGUUUGAAACAACAGUGCUUACUGGGGAAGAAAAGUAUAGAAAGGCCUAAGUUGCAAUGGAUCAUAGCACUUUUGUGAGUUUCAGCAGAGCUCAAAUUACCAUUGAGUAAAGGAGUAUUUGUCUACUGAGAGUGUAAAGGCUAUUAGCAAUACUGUGAUUUUCUAGCCUCACAGAACUCAGCCCCAGGUGGAAAAGGCGGACUCAAGAAGGUGAGUGUAUAUGGAAAAAAACCACUUCCUUGGUCUGCAGCAAUGUAAAGCUCAGCAUCCUUCUUGAAACUCUUCUUCCUUAGCUCUUGGAAUACCAUUAGUCUCUGGUCCUUGUACAGUUUUGAUGAAUCUUGUUUUUCUGACUCUUCUCUACCCAAAGCUAAAAUGCUGUGUUUCUCAAUUGUUUUUCACUCGAUACUGCCUUGAGAAUUUAUCUUUUCCUAUGCCUCACUUGUAUAACAUAUGUUAAAUACUAAUAUAAGCCAGCCCCAAUUUACAUAUCCAGCUCUCAUUAAAAAAAAAAAUUCUAUUUCCUAGCUGUAGUCAAUUAAUGUCCUUUUAACACUUACAAGUUACCAAAAUUGGGAUCAUUACCUUUUCCAUUUUACUCCACUGGGUGCUUCUCCUAGUAGCUACCUUUGAUAAUAGGAAAACCAGACCCUUGUAUUAGAAACCUUUCUCAAAAAUCACCAAAUCCUAUCAAUUUCUAGGGUUUAAAAAACCCAUUCCUCCUUUCUAAGCCAUCUGCCAUUUCCCUAGUUCAGUUCUCACAGUAAGAACAUAGCAGGCUGGGAGCAAUUGUUGACCCUAAGAAGAUCACAUUUGAUGAAGAAGCUGGAUAUGUAGAAAAUUACAGUAUAAUUAUUAUAAUAAAGAUAUGCACAAAGUGCUAUGCUUUGCAGAGAAAGAAACAAUUAACAUGACUGGUAUGUCUGAUAGACAGUCUUUGAAUGCUUUGAUAAAUUACAUUUGACAUGGAUCUUGGAUGAUUAGCAGGGGAACUUUAGCUACAGAUGGGAAAAAAAGGGUAUCAGAGAAAGAAAGCAAGCCUAUAAAAGGCAAAGAAAGACCAGACCACAGUUGAGGAAUGUGGUUGAACAUGAAGCUUUAAAGGUAAGGUGAGGCAAGAUUGUGAAAGGUUUUAUAUUCCAUGCCAAGGAGGCUACACUUAUUUUGCAGGAUAGAGGAAGACACUGAAAGACUUUAAAUAGGUAAGUGUCACCAGGAGAUUUGUGUUUAAGAACAGUAACAUUGACACAUCUGAAAGAAAAUGCAAUCAUUCUCAACUUCAGGUGAUUUGUCUCCCCAGUAGGCACUUGGAAAAGUGGGAAUAUUAUCUGCAUGUCAUAAUGACUAGGGCAUGCUACUGGUAUUUAGUAGGCAAAAUCUAGGCAUGUUUAUGUCAUAUACUGCAUGGAAUAGUCUCUCAUGAAAGAAUAUCCUUUCCCCAAAGGCAGUAGGACACUGACUAGGAAACACUGAAUUGCUAAUUUGGUAAACAUUUACUAAAUAUUUUCAUAGAUGGAACAUGUUAAAAAUUUCUACUCACCUAGUUUUAAAAAUAACCAGGAACAAAUCCCUACUCAGAAAUCACAGGAAGCAGUAAAAAGACUACUACCCCAUUGGAGAGGGUUCCACUUCAAGUGAUGGUCAAGAAGUUCUUUCACACCACCUGCCAACAUAUGAAAUUACAAACCUUGGACAAAAUUUUUAAAAAUGAACUAGUCGAAAGUAAUAGAAAACAACCAAAAGCAGGCUGAUCCUACAGAGGAGUGAAUAUUUAGAAGAAAUAGCAUUGGGUGAGUUUCCUAUUUUUAUAGCUCUUAGCCUGAGGGUACUCCUCACUCUGCAUCAUGUGGAGACUAUAGUUGUACUGACUUGAAGAACCCUAGGACAGAGCUUGGGGUAAUGGCAGCUGCUGGAAAAUGCAGAGAGAAGUCCUGAUAAGAAAAGGACCACAGAGAGAGCCCUGAAUUCUGUGUAUGACUGCCAAAACUGGCUGGUUUCCCAAGCAUGCAAGUACAGAAGAGAUUUCAACUACAAUAGCCAGGUUAAAAAGCUGAACUAAAAUUUGAGUUGCCAUGAACUCUAGGGGAACCAGAGUUUGCGGCUGGGAGUUUGGCCAAGCUAACUAGCUGCUUUUUUUUUUUUUUUUUUUUUUUUUUUUUUUUUUUUAAAAAAAAAAGAAGGUUUUGGAGAAACAAAUAAAAAUCCAGGGUUUCUGCAACAUUUUACUUACCAUGUCCCAGCCACAAUCUAAAUUAUUCAACAUAUGAAGAAACAGGAAAAUGUAACCCAUUCUUGAAAGAAAAGAAAAUUAGAGAGGACUGACAAUGAAAUGAUCCAGAAUAUUGAAAUGAAUAUUGAAUAUAUUAAUUCAAUAUAUUAAAACAAGAAUUUUGAAAAUUGAACAUAGAAAUACUCAAUACUGAAAUAUUUAAUAUUAAAAUAUUAAAUGUUAAAAUAGACAAGUAUUUAAUAUUGAAAUAGAAUACUGAAAUGAGCCAUCAAGUAUCUUAAAGUAGCUACUAUAACUAUGCUAAAAGGGUGUAAGGAAAAAUACACUUGCAGUGAAUGAAAAGAUAAUCUCAGCACAGAAAUAUAAAUUAUAAAAACUAAGUAGAAUUUCUAGAACUAAAACACACAAUAAUUACAUAAAAGUUCAUUGAAUGGGUUUAAAAGAAAAUGAGCACAGAAGAGUCAGUAAGUUGGACUAUAUAGAUCAAGUGAAAAAAUCCAAUUGAAGAAAAAAGAGAAAAAAAGGGAAGAAAAAACAAGAGCUUCAAAACCUGUGAGACAAUAUCAAAAGGUCUAGCAUAUUCGUAAAUGCAGUCCCAGGAGGAGAAGAGAAAAUGAGGUCGAAAAAAAAUAUUUGAUGAAAUAAAGCACUCAGAGGAAAAUUACAUUUCUUCACAGGGGAAAAACUAUUUGAACAUUCCUCUUCUCAUUGGAAACAAUGGAGGUCAGGAAACUGGAACAACAUCCUUAAAAUGGCAAACGUGGGGUCGGGGGAAGUUAAUCUAGAAUUAUGUAUUCAGCAAAAAUAUUCCUCAGGAAGGAAAACAAAAUAAAGACAUUUUCAGAUUUUAAAAUUUGUCAUACUUAAUUUCCAGCAGAUAUGAACUACAGAUGUUAAAGUUUUUCAGUUUGAAAGGAACGAUGGUACAAGGAAACUUGGAUUUUUCAGGAAGAAAUAAGAGCAUCAGAAAUGAUAAUUUAGGUAAAUAUAAGAAAGCAUUUUUUAAAAAUUUAAAAUAUGUAUCUGUUCAAAGAAAAUUAUAACAUAUUGUGGAGUUUAUAACAUGUACUAUAUGUAAUACAUUUAAUAAGAUAAUGGAUGAGGUGAUAGGGUAAAGAGGCUUAUAUGGUUGUAAGUUUUUUAUAUUUCAUGUCAUAUAGUACAAUAUU
ensembl:lncRNA